GAUGAAGAACGCAGCGAAAUGCGAUAAGUAAUGUGAAUUGCAGAAUUCCGUGAAUCAUCGAAUCUUUGAACGCACAUUGCGCCCCCUGGCAUUCCGGGGGGCAUGCCUGUCCGAGCGUCAUUGCUGCCCUCAAGCACGGCUUGUGUGUUGGGCCUCCGUCCUCCUCCCGGGGGACGGGCCCGAAAGGCAGCGGCGGCACCGCGUCCGGUCCUCGAGCGUAUGGGGCUUCGUCACCCGCUCUUGUAGGCCCGGCCGGCGCUUGCCGACACAUCAAUCUUUUUUCCAGGUUGACCUCGGAUCAGGUAGGGAUACCCGCUGAACUUAAGCAUAUCAAUAAGCGGAGGA
rnacentral:misc_RNA from 1 species